rnacentral:rRNA from 1 species
UACGUAGGGUGCGAGCGUUAAUCGGAAUUACUGGGCGUAAAGCGUGCGCAGGCGGUUUUGUAAGUCUGUCGUGAAAUCCCCGGGCUCAACCUGGGAAUUGCGAUGGAGACUGCAAGGCUAGAAUCUGGCAGAGGGGGGUAGAAUUCCACGUGUAGCAGUGAAAUGCGUAGAGAUGUGGAGGAACACCGAUGGCGAAGGCAGCCCCCUGGGCCAAUACUGACGCUCAUGCACGAAAGCGUGGGGAGCAAACAGG